UCCAGUUUAUCCUGCUGGCGGCUGCGGCUAUCUGGCCUGCGCUUAGACAUGCAAGUCUUUCGUAAGAAGGCAGACUGCUCAGUAACACGUAGCUAACCUAACCUUAGGUCAGGAAUACCCUCGGGAAACUGAGGAUAAAUCCUGAUAGGAAAUAUUUUUUGGAAAAAUAUAUUUUUCAAACUCGAGCCUAAGGAUGGGGCUGCGGCUGAUUAGGUAGUUGUUGGGGUAAUAGCCUAACAAGCCGAUGAUCAGUAAGGGCUCUUAGCGGAGAGGCCCUGAGAAGGAAUCUGAGACACUAUUCCUAGCCCUACGGGGUGCAGCAGUCGGGGAAAUUUUGCAAUGCACGCAAGUGUGACAAAGCAAGCCAGAGUGUUUCUCUUAUUUGAGAAACUUUUGUCAGCUGUAAAAAGGCUGACGAAUAAGGACUGGGUAAGACCGGUGCCAGCCGCCGCGGUAAUACCGGCGGUCCGAGUCGCAGCCACUAUUAUUGGGUCUAAAACAUCCGUAGCUUGUACUGUAAGUCUCUUGUGAAAUCUUAUAUCUCAAGUAUAAGGCGCGCAGGAGAUACUGCAGGGCUAGAGACCGGAAGACGUAACGAGUACGGCUGAGGUAGUGGUAAAAUACGUUAAUCUUGGUUGGACUAACAAUGGCGAAGGCACGUUACGAGGACGGAUCUGACAGUGAGGGAUGAAGGCUAGGGGCGCAAAACGGAUUAGAUACCCGUGUAGUCCUAGCAGUAAACACUGCACACUAAACAUCAGUAUCUCCUCGAGAGAUAUUGGUGCUGUAGGGAAGCCGAAGAGUGUGCUACCUGGGAAGUAUAGUCGCAAGGCCGAAACUUAAAGGAAUUGGCGGGGGAGUACCACAACGGGUGACGCGUGCGGUUCAAUUAGAUUUUACACCGUGAACCUCACCAGGAGCGACAGCAGAAUGAAGGUCAGUCUGAAGGGCUUACCUGACACGCUGAGAGGAGUUGCAUGGCCGACGUCAGCCUGUGCCGUGAGGUGACCUGUUAAAUCAGGUAACAGGCGAGACCCGCGUGCAUUGUUGAAUUUUCACACUAUGCAGACUGCCUUGGUAACAAGGAGGAAGGUGCGGGCUACGUUAGGUGAGUACGGCCCGAAUCUCCUGGGCGACACGCGCGCGGCAAUGCUGUAUUCAAUGAGAUGCGACUCUGAGAAGAGAAGCUAAUCCCAUAAAGUACAGCCUAGUUCAGAUUGAGGUUUGCAACCCAGCCUCAUGACGAUGGAAUCCGUAGUAAUCGUUUGCUAGCAGCGAACGGUGAAUAAGUCCCUGCUCCUUGCACACACCGCCCGUCAAACCAACCGAGUUAUGUUUUGGUGAGGCUCGUCAGAGACUAAUUUUGACAUGACAAGGUAGGUUAAGUCGACACAAGGUA
rnacentral:rRNA from 1 species